GUCGGGAUACGUAACAAUCGGCGAAGGCAAAGGCGAGACUCGUGGCCCGUCUCGCUCCCGUCCAUGCAGCCGCGUAAAUGAUGGCGCCCAACAUUAUCUAUUGUGCGCCCAUUCCAUUUAAUAUUGUAUUCCAUAACGCAAACAAAGGUGCUGUCAGCGACUAAUGAAGAUCGUAUGACCCGGGACGAUCUCGCCGGGAUGGAGGAUAUAAUAAUUCAAACGGGAUGCCUGGACCACUUACAAAUGGCCGACGAAACGGAGCUAAGGGAUCGCACGCGAGAGAAAGAUAUCGAGGGUCGCGAAUUCAAGGACACGUGGAAUUAAUCGUUACAAGAAUUAUCGCGAAUCACCACUGAAUUCCACCUUUCUGUCUCUCCUCCUCCUCCUCCUCUUCUUCUUCCUCUUGCCAUAUUUACGAAUUCCUUGGUAAAGAAAAGUUGUGGGGAGGGGAAGAAUGCCAUCCUGAUCGAAGAUGGAAGCAAUGAAGGAUGAUCAAUUAAUAUAAUAGAUUGGAGUGGAAUUAAAAAUUUACUGUUAUUGUUGUUAUCUUGUCGUUACUAUUUAAAAAAAAGAUCUUUCUUGGUGGAAAUUUGGUGGAAAUAGGGAAGGGUGUAGUUAUUGGGAUCAAGGGUUGGUUCAUGGUGGUAAUUACAGGGUGGAAAAACGAAUGGAAAAAUGGGGAGAGAUGGAAGAGAAACUUUUCCACCCUCGAUCCCGAACUUCGUCACAUUCAUCAUUGUUCUUGCCAACCGACCUUCUUUCCCUUUCUUCGAUUUCUUUUUCUCCUUACUGGGGAGGCCACCUCGUAAAUUCGGAAACGCGGCGAAGAUUCCCCGCGAUGACACACUUAACCGCCGUUGCCACGCAAAAAACUGCGACGGGAUCUACUGGAAAUCCUUCUUCAACUUCCAUGUACACAGAGAAAAAGAGAGAGAGAGAGAGAGUUCGAUAUACAACGCUGGAAACAAAAGGGAUGAAAUAUUUCUUGGCGCGGAAAGUUGAGGAAAAUUCCUGUCGAGGGAGAGGGGGGGGGGAAGGAAGGAGAUCUUCCAUCAUCGAGGAAAUUUUUCGGUUACAAAAUA
rnacentral:lncRNA from 1 species